rnacentral:rRNA from 1 species
UACGGAGGGUGCGAGCGUUGUCCGGAAUCAUUGGGCGUAAAGGGCGCGUAGGUGGCCUGCUAAGCGUGCGGUGAAAGUCGGGGGCUCAACCCCCGAUCGGCCGUGCGAACUGGGAGGCUUGAGCACUGUAGAGGCAGGCGGAAUUCCGGGUGUAGCGGUGGAAUGCGUAGAGAUCCGGAAGAACACCGGUGGCGAAGGCGGCCUGCUGGGCAGUAGCUGACGCUGAUGCGCGACAGCGUGGGGAGCAAACAGG